CCUACGGGAGGCAGCAGUGAGGAAUAUUGGUCAAUGGACGAGAGUCUGAACCAGCCAAGUAGCGUGAAGGAUGACUGCCCUAUGGGUUGUAAACUUCUUUUAUAAAGGAAUAAAACAAGGCACGUGUGCCUUUUUGCAUGUACUUUAUGAAUAAGGAUCGGCUAACUCCGUGCCAGCAGCCGCGGUAAUACGGAGGAUCCGAGCGUUAUCCGGAUUUAUUGGGUUUAAAGGGAGCGUAGAUGGGUUGUUAAGUCAGUUGUGAAAGUUUGCGGCUCAACCGUAAAAUUGCAAUUGAUACUGGCAGUCUUGAGUACAGUUGAGGUAGGCGGAAUUCGUGGUGUAGCGGUGAAAUGCUUAGAUAUCACGAAGAACUCCGAUUGCGAAGGCAGCUCACUAAACUGUGACUGACAUUGAUGCUCGAAAGUGUUGGUAUCAAACAGGAUUAGAUACCCCUGUAGUC
rnacentral:rRNA from 1 species